rnacentral:rRNA from 1 species
AUUGAACGCUGGCGGCAGGCCUAACACAUGCAAGUCGAGCGGAUGAAGGGAGCUUGCUCUCCGAUUCAGCGGCGGACGGGUGAGUAAUGCCUAGGAAUCUGCCUGGUAGUGGGGGACAACGUUUCGAAAGGAACGCUAAUACCGCAUACGUCCUACGGGAGAAAGUGGGGGAUCUUCGGACCUCACGCUAUCAGAUGAGCCUAGGCCGGAUUAGCUAGUUGGUGGGGUAAUGGCCUACCAAGGCGACGAUCCGUAACUGGUCUGAGAGGAUGAUCAGUCACACUGGAACUGGGACUCGGUCCAGACUCCUACGGGAGGCAGCAGUGGGGAAUAUUGGACAAUGGGCGAAAGCCUGAUCCAGCCAUGCCGCGUGUGUGAAGAAGGUCUUCGGAUUGUAAAGCACUUUAAGUUGGGAGGAAGGGCUGCUGGUUAAUACCCUGCAGUUUUGACGUUACCAACAGAAUAAGCACCGGCUAACUUCGUGCCAGCCGCCGCCGUAACAC